UCCGGCAACCCAACCGCAUCGCACGCCCGACGCGCAGCCGAAACCCUAGCCCCGCCCCGCCCCUUCCUCCCCCGCGCACCCCGCCGUCUCCGCCGUCCCGUUCGCCGCGCCAUGGCCGAUUCCCCGCGCCGGAGGUACACAAGGCCCUCAAGGUCCCCUUCUCCUUAUAAGGGACGCCAAAAGCAAAUGUCAAGGUCAAGAUCACCUGUAGCUCAAUCCCAGUCUAGAUCUCCAUCGCCUGAUCCUAGAGCUCAGGCGAGGUCAAGAUCUCGAAGCCCUGCGAGGGAGCGGGAGCCUGAAGCUGUAAAUCAUGGAAAUACUCUGUACAUUACUGGACUUUCUUCUAGGGUGACUGAUAAAGAACUUAGAGAGUACUUCAAUAAGGAAGGAAAGGUGGUUUCUUGUCAUGUUGUUCUUGAACCCCACACACGUGUUUCUCGUGGAUUUGCUUUCAUCACCAUGGACACUGUUGAAGAUGCUGAACGCUGCAUCAAGUAUCUCAACCAGUCAGAACUGCAAGGCCGGAACAUCACAGUUGAAAAGAAGACAUUGUGCAAGCUAUGUGCCAGCAAUCAAGAUGCUGAGUUCAUCAAUUUCAACUUUAGCUCAUACAGCUUGAUCAAUGGACAGCCCAAAGGGUUACUAUGCAACACGAGAUUCACAACAACUAAACGUAGCAAAUUUUCAACUAAACCUGAGCAUUCACCUUCAACUCCCCAUCAACUAAUCAACGGGCAUUUCCAACACUUUAGUCAAGUUGUCUGGUGACAUAUGCAUAGCAAUGUUGGAUGUCUGCUAGUUGGAGUUUGUGCUCUUCAUUAAGUAUUUCCUUCCUCCUUGGUCCGUUAAUGCAGGGUGUAUAUCCGCCGAUCGUAAGGGAAACUCAUAAUUUCCUACACAAUCCAGCAUGAUAUUUAUUUUCCUUCUUUCUUUAGCUUGGAGCCUGAUAUUGUACUGAUUGUUGUUAUUGUUGUUUCAGUCACGCAGAGGCCGCCCAAGGACGCCUACUCCUGGGAGCUAUCUGGGCCAUCGCUAUGAGCGCAGAGAGAUGCAGUGUGGAGGUAGAUUCCGCAGAGGAGGCUACGGUCGUGACGACUACUAUGGAAACAGCUACCGCAGGUCUCCGCCUCCCAUGUACCGAGAAUACAGGGACACCCGGGACUACCCUCCCUACAGGGACACCCGUGACUACUCCCCGCCCCACAGGGAUGCCCGAGACUACUAUGACGGCAGGGGUGGCCGGGGCUACUCCCCCCACAGGUCUCCCCCUCCUUACGGUGGCAGGGCAAGAAGGGAGCGGUCUAGGUCGCUGCCGUAUUCCCCGUACCGUAUGCCCGAAAGGGGUUAUGGCCGCCGUGCUGGUGGCGGUGGCUACGACAGGUGAAGGGUUGUUCUCUUUGCGUCAGCAGAGGCCCGAUGUCAAGUUGGAUAACAAGCUGCGCAUGAUGGGCCUCAUGCUAGAUUAUGUGUAAGCUGUACUGUCUUGAACGCCAUAUUCCUGGAUUUUGCAAUGUUGUACCUCCACCUAGUUUGUGUAACUUGAUGACCUUAGACAUGUUCGUUCUAUUUGGAUUUUGCAAUGUUGUACCUCCACCUAGUUUGGUCUGCUUCAUGGCGUGAAUGGCGAGAGAAGGGAGGGC
rnacentral:rRNA from 1 species